rnacentral:misc_RNA from 1 species
GAUGGAGAACGCAGCGAAAUGCGAUAAGUAGUGUGAAUUGCAGAAUUCAGUGAAUCAUCGAAUCUUUGAACGCACAUUGCGCCCUUUGGUAUUCCAAAGGGCAUGCCUGUUCGAGCGUCAUUUGUACCCUCAAGCUUUGCUUGGUGUUGGGCGUCUUGUCUCUAGCUUUGCUGGAGACUCGCCUUAAAGUAAUUGGCAGCCGGCCUACUGGUUUCGGAGCGCAGCACAAGUCGCACUCUCUAUCAGCAAAGGUCUAGCAUCCAUUAAGCCUUUUUUUCAACUUUUGACCUCGGAUCAGGUAGGGAUACCCGCUGAACUUAAGCAUAUCAAUAAGCGGAGGA